UAUCAAACUCGGAUCUAAAGCUUUCCCAGCUUCUUCUUACACAACACUACCUUCUCUCUUCCAAAUUUAAUCCAAGCUUCGUGCCACCAAAUCGAAGUUCUCACCCAAAUCAAAAAUCCGGCUGAGUCAAAACCUAACCCUCGGAUUCAUACCCCUCUUCGAGAAAGAAAGGGAACCUCAUUCUUCAUCUGAUCCAGACUUUGUUUCAAAACCUAACCCUCCGAUUCAUACCCCUUUUCGCGAAAUCAUCCAAACCUUAUUACUCAUUUCAUGGGUGUCAAUCAGUAGUUCUUUAUCUAUGCUGGGAGACUCAGGUAUGAAUGGAAGUUUUGCAACUCGUUUUUCUAGAUCUGCUGACCGUACCUUUACAAACCAGUUAGCGGAUUAGGAAUUCGUUGUUACUCAGCAUUCAGCUGUACCACAGGGGAUUUUGGUGAGCUUGUCUUUCUUUGUUUUGUAGAAAUUAAGAGACUACUUUGGAAAAGAAUUUAAACUAUUUUCUGUGAAUAACUGAUUAUGUUUAGAAAUUGUGGUUGCUUGUGUUAUAUCGGUCAUUAUAGAGAUUCCACUACUGCUGACUCUCUGGAUUAUCUACCUCCACUUUGAGUUCCGGAGACUUCAGCUUCAUAUGGGCUCAAUAUCUGUGAUGGAAACAUUCCUUGUUUGCCAAUGUUGAGCUCUUCCUUAUUUUUUUUCUCUCUUUUUUUUUUCUUUUCUUUUCUCUUCUUCUUUCAUUCAUUUGUAAGCAUAAAUUGGCCUGAUACUAAUUAGCAAUCUAUUCUUGUUUUAUAUAUACAUGAUAUGUUUGUUUAGGGAAAGCAUUCGAGUUGUGUGAGGAUCCAUGAUCAAAUUAUGUUCUCAAAUUACCUCCUUGAUUACUAUUUAGGAAUUCAGAAUUUUGUCUAUGCCCAAAAGUUAAUUUCUUGUGGAAAGGCAAUUCCAUUUGUAUCGUUACAUUUUGUGCUUUUAAAAUUUAGUAUUGAACAUCAACAAGAGGAAUAGAUGCUGGUUGAUUCACUUUCGAAAGCAGAAGGAGCCACUUGUGACAUGCUCAUUGUAAGCCUUAAAAUUUUAUCUAUCAAAUGAUAGAAGACUAUGUCAUUAAUGAUCUGCAAUAUGAGUUGCUUAGACUUUAUCUGUCAAAUGAUACAAGACUCUUUGGUGAUUUGUAAUAUGAGUUAUGCACUUUUUAAGUGUAAUCAGUUCGAUGCAUAUUGUUUUUGGCUGCAUGAGUCAUUUGUUUUUAGCGAGCUAAGAAGUGGGUUUUUGAAUUGCAAAGACAAGCAAAUCCAACUUUAAUAAUGGUUUUGGCUGGAAACAAGGCUGACUUGGAAGAGAAGAGAAAAGUAGGGACUGAGAAAAGUAGUCCUUACUUAGGAAGCAUAGAUCUAUCAGGGCAGAAAUGGUUAGGACGUAGAGACGAUACGUAGUCUGCAGAAGGCAAGCAGAAAACAAGUAGUGAAGUCUUUGACCAUUGCGCAAUAGAUACACUGCUGAUUUCUCAUGGGACAAGUACACUCUUUAUGAAGGACCUUUUGAGGAGGUUGGAGCAACGUGCUGAAACCUUUAUCAAUGGGGUAGAUUAGUUUAUGCUGCUGUUAACAAACUGUAUUUCAUUGUUUGAGUAUGACUUUCAUCAUUGGGACA